rnacentral:lncRNA from 1 species
GUCAUACUGUUGCAGUGGGGAAUGGCCAAAGUAUCUGCCAUCAGAUAGGAGUUCUGUGCCCUCCUGGAGUGUUCUGGAGUUAACAGUGGUUGCACAUACACUACUCAGUCUGGUUUCUUACCUGAAGUACUGGGAUGAACGCAGGGCCGGAGCGGGAUGCUUUUUGGCUUGUAAACAACUGUGUUACCCUUGAAGAAGUUUUCUGUAUUUUUAAUUUUCUAAAUGAAUGUUUUCACAGUUUUGGUGGCUCAAAAUCAUGACGUUUGUGUGAUGGGCCUGGAAAAGAUGACACAGAACUGAGCAAAUGCCUUCUCUGGACUUCAGCUUCCCUCUUGAUACAAUGAGAAUGAAACUGCAAUUCACUUCACCAUCUCUGGAAAGGAAAACUGGGUGUAUAUGGAGGAUCCUCUUUCAUAACACUGUUCAGAAGGAGAUCAGCAGCUUUGUGGCCAAGUGUGAAGAUGACAGUGUUGAAAAUGAAGGAGAAUCUUAGGUCAUAAAUAAUUGCCUUGUGACCCAAACGACGGUUUGAACCAGUGGAAGAGAAUUCAGUAGUGGAAGAGCAGCUAUCUGUUCUCCUGGAAGCAUUCCAGAAGCACUAAAGUUGCCCAUAAAGUGAUGUUUUGAAGACUAGUCCAGCUGUUUCCAGUGCCUAUUUUUCAUUCCUUGGAGUGGACGGCCUCCUUUUUGAAUGUUGCUGCAUGGAGAGAGAAGAGAGUGAAGAGUUGGACCAGGAGGAUGGAAAGGAGAGGAAUGGAGUGGUGAAUGUUAAGUGGGGAUCAUUAGAAGAAGGGCCUGGACCCUUAGGGAAAAUGAUCUCAAUGAUAUCAUCAUGAUUUAGUUUCUGGAGCCAAAUGAAUGAUGGCAGGAGUUCACUAUUGUGGCAACAUCAAACAGUGACAAAUUAGAGAGCACUGAAUUCAAGAUUUUCUGCGCUGCCUUCACUUAUUCCCCCUAUGCUCUACUGCAUUCUGAUAACAGACUGGUAAUUUCAGCACCCAGCAAUAGCAGAUGGAAUCUAUUCAUCAUCCCAAUGACCCGGCACAUCAUAACCCACUCAUCAUCCAAUGACCCAGCACAUCGGCUGGAGGAACAGCACAGUGAGUUCCAGAGGUAAUGGCAAGCCAAAUAAUUAGAAGCCUGGCUCCCAGGGAUGAUUUGAGGAUUAAUGGCUGUUUGUAGAGUGCUUGGAGUUCCCCAGCUGCAGCGUGCGUUUAGCUCUGGGGCACAGCAGGCUGCAGGUGCUGGGCAGUGGGAGUGCAGCCCCAGUACUGUGGCUGGCCCGGUGCAGGUCUGUGUACCAGUCUGCAGUACCUCGGCGCUGCUGAGCUAUCAGGAGUAAACGAAGAAAACAGCUUGAGUGGCCUCCUGAUGCCAGCCAGAGCUUCCUUGUUCUUUUCCCCUUGGAAGCCCAUGGGUGACCUCCACAGACUGCAUUGAGCCACAUCUCAAGUGUGCCGGAGCUAACAUGCCACAGAAGGCUGUGACUCGUCGGGGCUGGGACCAUUCACUGUCACUAUCACAAGUGGAGAAACUUUUCUGUCAGGUGCCUGCGCAGUGUCUGAGACCCAGCCUGGCUUUUACAGCCCUAGAAGGAAGUGCUGAGUGCAUUGCUUUCUAAUCUUGCCCAGGGAGGUUUUCAGAGGAGAGGCUGUGCUGUAGGAAUCAGUGUAGGAUACAGAUGGAUCCAGCCAGCUUGCACUUGUUUGAGUCCACGAGGAGCAGUCGUGGGCCAGGCACUCGGGGAAAGUUCCCUUUGUCCCAUGGGAGAAGCACGUGGGCUUGGAAAGAUCCUUGAACCUGCGGAGGGGAGGAAUUUCUCCUUGGGCCUCAGAUGUCCCCCAGGGUGGUGCGGGGAGGAGCCCGAUGCUCCCAGCAUUGUCCGAGGCAGCAGCUGGUGGUGCUGUGUGACAAGGUUCUGCUGGCGCUGAGGUGCAGUGCUCAAGUGUGCUAGCAGGGGCAAUGACCCCUGGGGGAGUGGAACAGGUCAGGUUAUGGCUGCGGAGUCUGUCUUCUGUACAGAGGCAGUGAGCCCAUCCCAAGCUCCUUACCGCUCAUCCCAUCCUCUGGGGGAUGGAGAACUGCUUUUUUCCUUCCCCCUGUAGCGCCAGGAGAGCAAUCAGAACCUCUGAGCUAUGGAACAUCCUCCUUUCCCUCCUCCUCCUCUAGGAGGCCUGUUUUAACCUUUUGUCCCAUGCAGCAGCAAUGUCCAUAUGGCCCUUCACCUGCUAGGGCAAUGUUCCUUGUGGUCUCUCAGCCCAUGUGCUGAAUGCCACUCCUAUCCCAUUCCACCCUCCCUUUGGGUUUUGAGAUGCGAUUGAUCCGUUCUGCAAGUUCACACUGUGCUAACUCAGCACUCCCUGCAGUAUGUCCAACACUGUCCUGCUAAAAAAAAAGAAGUCACUUCUGGUAUUCAAGGGUCCUCAACCAAUGUCAUUUUUGUCCAUUGGGUUGGGAGAAAUUUACUGGGGGACAAUCGUGUCAUCUGAUCUUUGGCAAAAUGCUUCUCUUUGAAACCUUGACUCUUGGUUACGGGUAAUGCAGAUGAGAGUGCUGUGUCCAAUCUCCUCCAAGGAGAGCAGCGUGCUGAAGGGGAAUUAAAGGGCCAUGGGAAUUCUCAGCAUAAUUUUAUUAUGGUGACCUUUAAGGAGACGGUGGGGGGAUGGGUGAAGAACACAGAGAAGACACUGAGAACAGACCACACAGACAGCGCUUAAGGGGGGGAAAGCAAACCCAAAGCAAGUUAGGAAGGGAGACAGGAGAGGAGAGAGAUGGAGCAGAGACUGAAUGAGGCUGGCAAGGAAUGGCGGAGCCACCUCCUUCCAGUUUAUCCAGGGAGUGACAGGAGUAGAUUUGGGGCUCUCCAUCCAUGAAAAACACCCUUCUGUGCAUCGUUCUCCAUUUUCCUGAAAUCUCUGCUUUUCUUCCUCCAGGCAACCAUUAAUCUAAUAUUAAGCCCCUUAACCUCUCUAAUUGUUCCCUUUCAGUGUCAGCUGGUUUCCUAUUAACCUUUCAAUCUCUCCGUAAUGCAGUUACUUCUGAUUCCAGCCAGCCCUGGCUCUAAAGCUUUACCUCCGGCAGUGAAUUUUCCAAGCUUUCCCUUUUUUUUUUUCUCUUUCUUUUCUGUAAUGAUUAUAACUGCUGUUAAGGAGCCAGUUUGAACCAGCCUCUAAAUGCACAGGGCUGAACCACUUGGAGUCUAUAAAUAGCCCUUUGCUAACCUUGGGCCUUAUUUCGUUAAGUUGAUUGGCCUCUCUCUCUCCACUCCGUUGCAUCUCCCUCUCUCUCCUCUCUCCAUUAUUGAUGCUGGUUCUUUUGUUGCUAUCUGACACACCUUCUUGUUGAUAACAGGGUUGGUCAGUGCUAAGUUUUUCCCUCCUGAACAAAAUAGUAUCGUUGCUGGGGAAGUGUCCCUAGAAUUUUUUUAACAAGGAAAGCAGAGAGUGAGACAGGCCUGAAGCAGCAGGUCUGAAAACAACCGUGCCGUGCAAUAGGAAAUUGCCUAGCUGAGCACCAGUCACAGUUUGCUCCCUGUAGGCUGGAUUUCUCCUGUGACAUACAAUGUGAUCACACUCAAAUGCAGUCUCCUGGGCAUAUCCCAUUGUGCAGUACUGAAGCCAAGAUGUCUGUCUGCCCACAGACAAAUCAGGAGUUGCUGGCCUAAAGUUGAAACGGAGAUCUCGGAAUGCUAAGUAAACUGCCUGCUUCUCAGAGCGAUCCCCUCGAAGCUUGGAUGUCAUUAAUCAGUAUACUACUGCCGCUUGUCCCUGCAACAGGGCAGAAUAUGGUUUGCUUCACUGCCCAUCAGAUGCAGCUCUCUGGUAUGUUUGUGCUGUCUCUUCUAACCCCACCUGCUUCUUCAGUGCUGAUGCUGAGCUCUCUUGAACCCUGGUAGCUCUCCUCAGUGCCUGCAAACAGCUUAUUUUUUUGUAAAAUGCAAUGGCUGCUUGCAGUGAAGUUUGAUUUGGAGCAGUUGCGUGAGAUGACCUGGAGUAUAUUGUCAUGCCCCUGUUUUGCUGUGUGUCCAGAGGCAAGGUCUUUCCCUGCAGAGCUGCAUUUUCCCCGAUGAAAGAAGAGAGAGGCGCAGGAAACUUUUGUGGUUUGUGCCUUGGUUGAUAUUCACAGUCUUUUGCUUCAGCUCAGGAGGAUUUGUGUGUCUGAAAGCUCUUCUGUUUUCCCUAGCUGUAUCAUUUGUCUAAUACCAGCUGUUACCUUUCCCUGAGAGUCCUGCCUCAAGGUCAACAGCGGCUUACCAAAAUAAUAGGAGCCAUUCUCUUCUACUCUCCGUGCAGCCCUGUGCGUCUCUGCUUGCCCACUCACUGCUAUUUCUUGCAGCAACCCUUUGUCUUAUUUUCUGGCAAAUGUUCUUGAUCCAUGCUAGGGCAGUAAAGAAAAGCAAAGGAAAAGUGCUGGCAAAUCUGUGGUUAAAGAAGGUUCGCAUGGAGGUAUCAGACGAAGGGCCUUCCUUUUCAACAGCUGAGCCCAAUAAGAAGCAUGGCUUGUAGAAGUGCUGCAUGUGUGGAAAGCACAGCUCCUGAGGCAGGUGGCAGCCAGUGCUCACAUCUGUUUAAUAAUGCACGUUGUGUGGGGUGGCUGAGCGCUCGGUUUCCAUCAUCACAACCGUAUGGCCUUCAUGUUUUUUUAAAGUCUCAGGCCCAGCCUUUCACUCUGGUGCCAUGUGGGUGCAUUGGAGCCGCCGAGCCCUGGCCAUUCUUUCAAAGGGCUGGGCUCAGGCUGGCGGGCUCAGGCUGGGCCUGCCCCUGGGUGCCAUCUUAGGGCGGGCGCCAUCUUGGGGCACUGCCCUUGGCUCUGAAGUGGCCCCUCAGUGGGGCCAUCCCUGGACCCAUGACCUUGUGGUGAAGAGGUGGGUCAGUGGUGCAGAGCAUGUCUUCAGAGCAGGUGGAAAAUGUAAUCCAAGGCAAGGGUAUCCCUGCUUUUUCAGUCUGUGUACAGCAGACAAGUGAUACUGGACCAUUCCCUAGACACUCCCCGAGUGCCUAUUUUACCCGGCUUCUCUGCUAUGUCCGAUCUGCUCCCUGGCCUCUGGGAAGCUUCCUGACUGCUUACCCCAGUGAUCCAUCAUAUGACCCCGCUGUGGCAAUGUGAUACAGCUUUAGCUGCACUAAUCAGCUUAGCUUGCUCCCCGCUUGUCGUCUUACUUCAGGAAAAACUUUAUGCAGUGCCUGGGUAGGGCUGCUCAUUCCAAAGGAUUUAAAUCCAAGGUGAAAAGUAGCAACACAGACUUUUUCUUUGUUAUUUUGUAGACAGGAUUCAUUUUAUCAUUGCAGCUUCUAACUCAUCAUUCCUCUAGGAGUAGCUGAGCUUUUCAUGAUACACCUAGGUUUCAGUUGUACAGUAAGAUCCCUGUCUCUGUUAACAGGGAAAAAAAAGGAAGCCCCCCCUGAAAAAAAAACAAAAAACCCACAACAAAACAAACCGACAGUAAUGAGUGCUUUGGCCGAAGCAUUUGAGAGGUGCUCAGUCAUCCAAAUGAACUUAGAGACUGCAUCACUUCCCUCCUUUCUCUUCCCAGCUUGAAGCAAAUUGGGCUCUAGAGAAAAGAAUAUUGUUUGUUGCAGGGGACUGGAAACUUUCACCUUGAGCCUCAAGGGGGAUUUUAGAUAAGACAGCAGGAAAGAGGAGGACUUUUGGUAAACACAUUUUGGAAAUACAUUUUUUUUUUUUUUCCUCUCCACAGAGAGACAUUUCCAUGCUGGAGUGCUGGGAAAAGUCAGAAUUUGGUUGAGAAGUGACAGCCCAGCCUCCAUCUUGUUAGCUAGUCAGCCAGUGAUGCACGUGGGAGAAAGUAUGCUGAUAUCUAAGUCUCCAUUAGGUGAGGGCAAAUCAACUGUACUAUAGGGUGAAAGAAUAACUGAAUAUGCUGCUGUAUAAGAGAAGGAUCUGGCAAAAACUGAGCACCUUCCAAAACCUGAGAACCACAACUGCUGGCAGUUUGUCAUGAGAAUCUCAGCCCAUCAGGAGACGGUGAACACCCAGCACGCUUCCAGGACAGGGAACCUCUCCAGACCUGCCUCAGGGUUUUCCCAUCUCAGCUGCUGCAGCAGCCUCUGCUCCCAGGCUUCUGAAACACCAUCCAGAUACAAAAGGAGGAUCUAAAAAGUCCCUGUUUGCCACUUCUCCAGCCCUUUCCCCUCUCUAAGAGGCCUGUCCCUGAGAGAGUUAAUGAUCCUGCUUUCUCAGGAGGUGAAAAGAUACUUCCGUGUAGCAUCCCAGGGGAGAUAUGGAACUGCCAGGAGUAGCAGAAGACUUUGAACAUCCUCAAGGUUUUGUACUUGCGUUGUCCUCUUAGCACCCGUGACUUGAAUAUAGUCUGGAACUGAUUAACUUCACUUCGAUCUCUGGAAGGGAAUGUUCUUCCAGCAGUUAAAUAUUCUCUCAGCAUUGCACAUGGACCAGACAUUACAGAGGCUAGGGCUGCAUUUGCAUUUUUUCCUCAUGAACUGAAAGAGAAAGGAAUAUCCUCCAGUAUUUCAGUGCUGCCAUUUCCAUCCUUCGUGGUGGUCCGGUGCCAAAUUCAAGCUGGCUAUCCUGUUAGCUUCAGCAGCAUUCCCCCAAGCCCUAUGGCCAUGAGAUUUGCAGCUCACACAGCAGGGAACCCCUGCCGCACACACGACAAAUACUUUGGUUCCAAAGUACAUCCUCAGAGAACACUAUGAAUCACAUUUCUGAGAAACACAGUAUCUCUAGCACAUAUAAAUGCCUUUGUGUGAUAUUGCAUUAGGAGAGGUAGAGCUCCCCUACUCCAGCCUUCCACCUGUGGGAUGACAGUGGGGAUAAAAGUGAGUUAGGGAGCACUACAGUGAAGUGGUUAAACUGGGAAAAUCUGAAGCAUCAGUACGAGCUUUUAGAAGUAUCCCUAACUUCCCUCCAGCUCCUGUCUGCAGUACACACUUGUGUGUGUGCCUUUGGUGUGCUGAUACAGCCAACAGGGAAAUAUCACCUCCUGCUGCUGCUGCCUAGCAUCAAACUGGGGGCUGGGGCAUUAUGCUGCAUUCUGGGGAAAGAGAGCAGAGUGGGCUCUCUGACUCCUUCCAUGUGAAGCUGAAGAACUCACUGAGGAAGCAGUUCAGCUUAUGAAGUACCCUAAGAGACCUUUCCAUAGGAACUAUGCUCAUGGCUGCUCUGUCCUGGCUAUGGCAGGUCAGGGAGAGCUGCUUGCCACCCCAGGACUAGACCUUCCCCAGGCCCCCAGCACACCAGCAAGCCACUGCUGCUGUGUCUGUGCAGGGAGGAGGGGAGGAAGCUCGGAAGGUAUUUUGGCUCUGUACAGGGCUGAGCAAACAGCAGCAUUUGCCUGAUAGUGACCAACUGCCUAGGAAUAGGUGCAAUCUCUGGCCAUGGUGAUGACAUCCCUGCUGCUCCUCCUGGCACAGGGAGUCUCCUGUUUCCUCUGGCUCAGGCAGGGGCUCUUUUUUUUUUUCUAUGUGGUGCUCAUCUGUUUGCUUACUAUUUCAGGCACGGGUGACAGCAGUCAAAAAAACAUUCCACUGUACUCAGUUAAUCCAUAGGAAAAUCCCAUGCUGGUACGCAAAAUGUGGAGUCUAUGCUUACGCAUUUUCCCCCACGGGCCUUGGGCAAUGGAAAUUUUCUCAAGCUCCAUUCAUUAACAAAAUAGACGAGCAGUUAUGUAAGAUCAUGUGAGGGAAGUGGUUGGGCUUUGGUCAAUGGAAGAGUUAGUCACACAUCAAUGAGCUUGAUGAGCUUGGGAAGAAAUAUGGAGACGCUUUUCUUAUUCCAAGACUGAAAAAGGGAGAAUUUUAGCCUCAAAUCUUCAUUUUAUCCUAAGCUCAGGCACCACCUUUACAUUCUGGGCAUUGCAGGAGCGCUGUUGUACUUAAGCAAAAGCAGAGUGUUGAGAUCUGUUGAGACCUCCUUCUUUUUCCCUUCCCAGGUCUCUCACCUAUGCUCUGAAAGACUUAGUCAACUACCUCUUGAUUUUGGGGUGCAAUUGAGGUGCUGCUUCCCUCCAGUCCAGCCAGUCUGCCCUGGGAGUGCUCUGAGCGUAGGUAGAUUGAACACUGUAGUAAUAUUCGGUGGCCACAGAGCAAUUAAAAUGUGCACCAGGGCUGUCAGGAACCAUUAGGACAUUUGAUUGGGGGAGGAUUUUCAAGCAUCUCAUCUCAAACCUGAUCUUCUUCAAAGUUUGCUCCUGAUUUGGACUGUUGUCUCUCCUACUUUGAAUCAGAGACGAUAACAUCAUGCUGAGUUUCUCUGGGAGUGAUCAUAGAGAAAGCAGGAAAUAUAGGGAACCGGUCUACUCAAUUAGAAGGGAACUGGUGUGCUCAAUUAGAUCUGGUCUGGAACAGUAUGGUCCCACUCCUCACUGGUUCUCAUGCUCUCUCAGCACUGGGAGCCGUGCCAAGUGUCCUCCAGGACCCCGAGCUGAGUUUACCCUGGCCCUUCACUCUUCCCAGCUUCUGCUUUGAGGCUUGCAGAUCUGACUUUUAGACAAUGACAUUUUACAGAAGGCAAUCAAAUAAGCUUUUUUUUUUUUUUUUCCUUCUUCAUCUGCACUAAUCCCUGCAUGCUGAAUAACCAGUUGCUUGUGUCCUUUCACCUUGCAGCCAGCCUCCUGAAGGUCAUUGCACUAGCUGAGCAGCAAAGCUUGGCUGGCAGCCUCCACAAGACAUGGAGUGGCAGUUGCCUAGCAUGACCUAUUGGGAGCACUCAUGGCCUAAAGAGUGCAGAGGAGGCCUCAAAAAGAAACUGGUGUGGGGCAGGUAGGAAGGAUAUGGGCAACAGGGUAUAGCUAAAGCACUGCUAGAUGCAUGAGGACUGGGAAUAAGUGAGAGCUGUGUGUGAAUUGCACAAACCCAAGUCCCUCUCGCAUCCACUGCUCUACCUUGAGAGCUGAGAUUGUGAAACCUUGGAAACGGGCUGCGUAGAAGUGCUCACAGACACAUGCUGCUGCUGCUGGCACUGGGCAGGGCAUCCCAACCCCACAUGGGCAUUCAUGGUGCAUGCUUGGUCCUCAGUCAAAGCACAGUUGUCUUGCCAAGUGGAUGCUUUCCAGAAGGAGCUGCAUUCCUGACCAUGGAGAGCUGAAAGGACUGCAAAUGGGAUAUGCCUUAAAAUAGACAGAGAUAUAGGAACGGAGCUCAUUUCCCAGGCAGCGAGGACACGUGCUGACAUCUCAGGCGUUUGCUCAGAGGGAGGGGCUGCUAAAACUGCAGCUGACAGCCUUGGCUGCAAGUGUCACUGGUUGCCUUAGGGCAAUUUGCACUACCUUAAAGGAUAUUUGUUGAGAGUGGUUUGUUUUUUGUUUUUUUGUUUUUUUGUUUGCCAGUAAGAUUUAUCUCUGCCUCUCUGUAAAGCAAACAGAGCGAGAAAUAGAUUUCGCUUCCAUAAAACUGUCAAGGUGUUGAGUAAAAAGAUGUGUCAUGAAUUGGGAUAAAAAGUCUUAAUCUCUACCUUUUCAAAGAACUGACAUUUCGCUAGGAAAAAAAAUGCUCUCCUUGUUCAAUGGAAAUGUUUUAUUUCGGCAACCUUCAAAUGUUUUCUUUAGAGCCAUUCAGACGUGGUUAGCCUUCUGCUUUUUAAUGACUAAUUUACCUAUGGUGAAGACCUUUUGACUUCAAAAUACAUCUGAAUGUUACGGUGCCCACAGAAGGGAUCCCCUGAGCAGUACUUCAUGCUGAGAUAUCACCUGGAAGCAGCACUUCCCUUGGAAAUCAUUUGGAAGUGAUAAACUUCCAUUAAAACUUGAAAAACAAAAAGAAGUUUGGCAGAAGGUUCCCAGCAAAUCCUACUGACACCUGUAUCUUUGAGCUGCAAAGCUGGCAGUUUUGUGACUGAGUGGUGUUGGGCAGCAAGGCAGAGCUCUGUGACCGAUUGCAGCCAGAGAACUCAAUGAGAUUAAUCUCUUUGGCUGCCUUUGCUACAUACUUUGGCUUUGCUCUUUUAAAUAGUUGUUACAUGGUCCCCGUGAAACAAUAUGCCACAGUGUCUGUUGUUUCUGCAAAACACUGUGUGCAGUGUAUGCAAAGCGCUGUUGGGACAGUGCUGGGCAGGUAGGAAGAAACAUCCAUGGCAACUCAGAUGUCGCUGAUGGAGAAACCCAAGCUCUGGCAGGUCGGAGCACAACAGAAGUGAGCAGAAGAAUGAGAAAUCAGCUUUCCCAUACUGCCCAUCUUGGGCUGAGCUCUCCAGCCAGCACAGUCCUACCGCCUCGCAGCGCUGGCUGCAAUGUAUGGCACCAGGCGACCGUGUGAGUUAAUUAUUAAACAGAAAGGCGUCAUCGGUCCCCUUGCCACUGCUGUCCCUCCCCUAAAUAUGCUGCGUGGUGGAAAAACGUUCGUGUGCAAUAAGAACAAAGAAACCUUUUCAGGAUGAGCAGAUUUUCCUUUGCUGGAGAGCUGCUCCCACUUUGCCUCUCUGGAGCUGGGAGAGCAAUGCACUCGCUCUCCAUAAAGGUGGAGCUCAGGAAAGAGAUGAAAAGGACAUAGAGACAAUCACGGCACUGAUUUCCGUGAAUAAUCUCCCCAGCUGUUAGCCCAAGCCAUUUCCUUAUCAGGGAGUACUGUAAUAGCAGCGUUUCAGAGUCUGGAAAGGGAACAUUUUGAAGUUAGCUUUGGCAUUUCAAGGCUAUCACUAUCUUCACCGAGCUUCCCUGGACUUCUAGAUAAAAUAUUAACUCUGGACUGGGUGCAGAGGCCCCAGCAGGCUGUAAAGCAGUGGUACAAGGGAAGAGACAGGCUCUGCGACAGAGAUGGUGACAUAGCAUCCAGGCCUGAAAGACUAUCAUGUGGCUAGUUUCUUCCAACAGACAUGCGUACUGCCUCC